CCUACUUCUUUUUCUUUUUCUUUUUCUACGUCUUCUAGGUUUUUCUUUUUCUUUUACGUCUUCUUCCUUCUUUUAUCUCCUUCUACGUUUUUUUUUUUUGUCCUGCUCCCUACUUCUUUUUCCUUCUUUUAAUUUUAUAUGUUUGCUUUUUGCUCAGGACUCUUCCAUAGUUUCAAAGUUACAGGUACGCGAAUCUCUCCAUUCCAGUUAAGGUCUCGCCAUUUCGGAUCUGAGCAUCGUUCGUUUUCGAGGGUGAGUCGGAGAUCCAAAGCCCCCGUUCGCUGCACCACAAAGAGAUUGUGAUCCAACGACAUCUACCAGAUCUCAUAUUUAGCGUGAGGCCGGUUCCUGAUCAGAUCCGAUGAUGGUGAGGACUCGUGCGGCAACAGCAGCUAAUGAGGUACCCGCGCCGGCCGCUAGGGUCAAAGCUCGUGGUGGAGGACAGGCCGUUGGGGCCGCAAUUCGUGGUGGAAGCCCGGCCAGGGGCCGUGGUCGUGGUAGAGGUAGGGGUGCAGCGGCGCCAGCCAGGGGCGGGGCUCCUGCGGCUGGUCAGGCUCGCGCCGAGUCCCCUGAGCCUCAGGUGAUUCCAGAAGAGACAGCAGAGUUUGCUGCAGCACUAGCUCAUCUUGAUAUUAUAUCUCCUCCAGUGUUGUCAGACGUGAUGGUUCAAGUGUUGAACCUGCUGAAUAGGUUGACAGAGACAGGUAUGUCACCGGCUGCUCCAGGUGCUCAGGGUGCCAGAGUGGGUGAUCCAGCUCCAGGCAGAGUUCGUGCUCCGGGGUUACAGCAUGUUGCAACUGUGGCUCCUUAGUUGGAUGAGGCUCCAGGACUAGAGGUAUUUCCCAGACCAGUGAGAGGUCCGGUGUUGACUGAGGAUGAGCAUGAUUUGUUUUGGAGGUUCACUACGAUGAAGCCUCCAGAGUUCUUUGGCACUGAGUUUGAGGAUUCAUAUGAUUUUAUUAGAACUGUCAUGAGAGGCCCCAUAAGAUGGGGGCAAUAGAGAAGUAUGGUGUUGAGUUUGUGACCUUCCAACUUUUAGGUAAUGCCAAGUUAUGGUGGAGGGAUUUUUUAGAGUGCAGGCCCGCAAGAUCGCCCCCAUUGAUAUGAACUCAAUUUUAUCAGGUGUUCUUAGACAAGUAUGUUCCUCGUACGUUGAGGGACCAUAGGCGUGAUGAGUUCAGUAACAUUGAGCAGGGUAAUUUUUCUAUAGUUGGUUAUGCGGCUUAGUUCCAUUCGUUGUCUCGCUAUGCCCUCCAGCUUGUGCCUACUGAGGAGGAAAGGGUUAGGAGAUUCAUGAAGAGGUUGAACACUGCCCUUUAGUUGUCAGCUCUUCAGCUUGCAGCAACAUAUGCUUCCUUUCAGAAAAUGGUGGAUCAUGUUAGAACUGUCGAGGGUGUUAGGCAGGAUGGUUAUAAUAAAUACGCGGAGAAAAAGGCUCGAAAGGGUGGUAGUUUCAGUGGCUUUUUCUCUAAGGGCCAGAGUUCCCAGGUCUAUUCUGGACACCCUAUUCAGCCAGCCAUGCAGGCUUCAGUUGGAGGCCCGUCAGGGGCCAAUCAGCAUAAUUCCAGUCAGCCAAGGGGUUCUCAGGUCAGAGCUCCAGAUUAUAGUGGUUAUUCGUCUUCAUCCGUUUCUAUCCCGCAUCCGACUAGACCGCAGAUGCUUUGAGUAUGGUGAUACGGGGCAUUUCAAGAGAAAUUUUCCUAGAAUUAGGCAAGGUGGAUAGGGUACUCAGUUUUAGGCUCCCUGAGCUCCAGCAUCAGGUAGAGGGCGAGGAUCUUAUGGGGGUAACCGUGCUCAGUCUGGGCAUGGCGGUCACACGGCUGGUAAAGGUGGUACCCAACCUAACAAAGGCGGUUUCCAGUCUAGUAGAGGUGGACAUCAGUCCGGCAGGGGCGGAGCUCAGACAUGACAGGUUGAUAGCAAUGGUUCGCAGGAUACUAGUAGACGGGUUCACUGUUAUGCCUUUCCUGUUAGGACAAAGGCUGAGGGCUCAGAUGUAGUCAUUACAGGAAAAGAAGAUGAUUGCUUAUGCUUCCAGACAGCUGAAGAUUCAUGAAAAGAACUAUCCUACUCAUGACUUGGAGUUGGCAGCUGUGGUUUUUAUGUUGAAGAUUUGGAGGCACUAUCUCUAUAGUGCCCGUUGCGAGAUUGUGAUCCAGCGACAUCUACCAGACCUCAUAUUUAGCGUGAGGCCAGUUCCUGAUCAGAUCCGAUGGUGAGCUCCUAUUCAUGCCAUGCCACCUGGAGAUAUUUUUUAUUUUGGAUGUCUAUUUUAUUUCAGACAUUUAUGAUUAUUUCAUACUGUUGUUCAUUCUUUAGAUAGUUAUGUUUUAGAGUCCUUGUACGAUGACUUUCGGAUUUUGGGGUUGCAAUAGUUAGGACUUCCACACCUUUAAUUAUUUAUGGCAUGACCAGACAGUUUGGAUAUUAUUAUUAUUAUUAUUAUUAUUAUUAUUAUUAUUAUUAUUAUUAUUAUUAUUAUUAUAUCCUUGAUCGUGUUAAAAUUGAUUAAUUAAAGGAUGAUUGGUUAUGGGGAUUGGUUCGCCCACUAGGGGAUUUGUGUGGGUGCCACUCACGGCUGUUUGAGUCGUGACACAAACAUGGAAAAAAAUUCAUAUCAAGGGAUGUCUUUCGCAUUUCAAGUAAAUAUGGCGGAUAUCGUGGUUACCUGUGGUGCAAAAUAUCAGCCAUCAACUUGUUUGAGUGAGUGACGGAGGCCUAAUAUAUUGUUCAUAAGUUUAAUUGGUUGUGUAUUGCUUAUUUAAAAGUACCCGAUGUAGAAUAUAGCAUUGAGUUUAAUUUUUGUCUUUCCCUUCUUGCGUAUGUUUUUUCAUUCUUUCUCAUGUUUAAUUCCCUGUGCUUUGUGGGGUAUUGUACUUUCUUUU